rnacentral:rRNA from 1 species
CUCUGGGGAGACUGCCGGUGAUAAACCGGAGGAAGGCGGGGAUGACGUCAAGUCCUCAUGGCCCUUACAUCCCGGGCUACACACGUGCUACAAUGGCAGGUACAGAGGGCUGCGAAGCCGCGAGGUGGAGCGAAUCCCAGAAAACCUGUCUCAGUCCGGAUUGAAGUCUGCAACUCGACUUCAUGAAGGCGGAAUCGCUAGUAACCGCGAAUCAGCAGGUCGCGGUGAAUACGUUCCCGGGCCUU